GUGAGGAAUAUUGGACAAUGGGCGCAAGCCUGAUCCAGCCAUGCCGCGUGCAGGAAGACGCAUCUAUGGUGUGUAAACUGCUUUUGUACGGGAAGAAACACUCCCUCGUGAGGGAGCUUGACGGUACCGUAAGAAUAAGGAUCGGCUAACUCCGUGCCAGCAGCCGCGGUAAUACGGAGGAUCCAAGCGUUAUCCGGAAUCAUUGGGUUUAAAGGGUCCGUAGGCGGUUUAAUAAGUCAGUGGUGAAAGCCCAUCGCUCAACGAUGGAACGGCAAUUGAUACUGUUAGACUUGAAUUACAAGGAAGUAACUAGAAUAUGUAGUGUAGCGGUGAAAUGCUUAGAUAUUACAUGGAAUACCAAUUGCGAAGGCAGGUUACUACUUGUGGAUUGACGCUGAUGGACGAAAGCGUGGGGAGCGAACAGGAUUAGAUACCCGGGUAGUCC
rnacentral:rRNA from 1 species